AUGCUUGUUUCGGCAACAUACAUACUAAAAUUGGAGCAGUACAGAGACUAGCAUGGCCCCUGUGCAAGGAUGAUAUGCAAAUCCGUGGAACUAUAUAUAUAUAU